rnacentral:lncRNA from 1 species
GAAGUGGUAGGAAAUUUUUACAUAGGAGAGUAUGGUGAUCAUAUUUGCAUUUUAGAAAAUAAUGGAUAGCAGUUUGUUAGGGGAACAAAGGACAGAGACAGGGAGACUAUUUAAAACAUUAAUAAAAAAUGCCAGUGACAGAUGAUGAGGCAUCUACCUGAUGGGAACGGAGAAGAGGAGAUGGAUUCAGAAACUACUUAUGAGGUAGCUGAAUAUGUAGUCUGCAAAUCAGGAGAAAAUUCUAGGUGAAGAUGGCAAUUUAGAAUCAUCAGAGUCUAUAUGAGGCAGGCGGUCCAAGGCUGAUGCCCAAAGAAGCCAUCAAGACCCGUGCUACUUCCAGCUCCUUCUGUCCUCAUAAUCAUAGAUGAUUGCUCCACAUCCAGCACCUAACACCAGUACUCAGUUAAAUUUUUUGCUGAAUAAAUCAAUGAAUGGAGAGGUAAAGAGGAACCAGAAGUUGGGGUUACGGAAGUCACUGAUGGAAGAGUUUCAAGAUAGUAGAAGUGGUCAGCCCUGUUAAGUGACAAGCCAAGGACUGAAGAAAGGCUGGCAG